UUGGGAAUAUUGGACAAUGGGCGAGAGCCUGAUCCAGCAAUCCCGCGUGAGUGAUGAAGGCCUUCGGGUCGUAAAGCUCUUUUAGUAGGGACGAAGGGGAAACCUUGACGGUACCUACAGAAAAAGCACCGGCUAACUCUGUGCCAGCAGCCGCGGUAAUACAGAGGGUGCAAGCGUUGUUCGGAAUCAUUGGGCGUAAAGCGCGAGUAGGCGGUCUCUUAAGUCUGAUGUGAAAGCCCAGGGCUCAACCCUGGAAGUGCAUUGGAUACUGGGAGACUAGAGGGUGUAAGAGGAGAGUGGAAUUCAUGGUGUAGGGGUGAAAUCCGUAGAUAUCAUGAGGAACAUCAGUGGCGAAGGCGGCUCUCUGGUACAUUUCUGACGCUCAGACGCGAAAGCAUGGGGAGCAAACAGG
rnacentral:rRNA from 1 species